CCCAAGGGAAUGCCUCAGUAACGGCGAGUGAAGCGGCAAAAGCUCAAAUUGAAAUCUAGCACCUUCGGUGUUCGAGUUGUAAUUUGAAGAUGGUAACCUUGGGUUUGGCUCUUGUCUAUGUUCCUUGGAACAGGACGUCAUAGAGGGUGAGAAUCCCGUCUGAUGAGAUGCCCAUUCCUAUGUAAGGUGCUAUCGAAGAGUCGAGUUGUUUGGGAAUGCAGCUCUAAGUGGGUGGUAAAUUCCAUCUAAAGCUAAAUAUUGGCGAGAGACCGAUAGCGAACAAGUACAGUGAUGGAAAGAUGAAAAGAACUUUGAAAAGAGAGUGAAAAAGUACGUGAAAUUGUUGAAAGGGAAGGGCAUUAGAUCAGACUUGGUGUUUUACGAUUAUCUUCUCUUCUUGAGUUGUGCACUCGUAUUUCACUGGGCCAGCAUCGAUUCGGAUGGCAAGAUAAUGGCAGUUGAAUGUGGCUUCACUUCGGUGGAGUGUUAUAGCUUCUGCUGAUAUUGCCUGUCUGGAUCGAGGGCUGCGUCUUUUGACUAGGAUGCUGGCGUAAUGAUCUAAUGCCG
rnacentral:rRNA from 1 species